GACGAACGCUGGCGGCGUGCUUAACACAUGCAAGUCGAACGGAAAGGCCUCUUUCGGGGGGUACUCGAGUGGCGAACGGGUGAGUAACACGUGAGUAACCUGCCCUUGACUUUGGGAUAACUUCAGGAAACUGGGGCUAAUACCGGAUAGGAGCUCCUGCUGCAUGGUGGGGGUUGGAAAGUUUCGGCGGUUGGGGGUGGGCUCGCGGCUUAUCAGCUUGUUGGUGGGGUGGUGGCUUACCAAGGCUUUGACGGGUAGCCGGCCCGUGAGGGGGACCGGCACCCUUGGGAAUGAGAUACGGCCCAGACUCCUACGGGAGGCAGGAGUGGGGAAUAUUGCAACAGUGGUGGAAGCCUGAUGCAGCAAAGCCGGGGGCGGGAUGAAGGCCUUCGGGUUGGAAACCGCUUUCGCUCAUGAAGAAGCUUUGUGUGACGGUAGUGGGUAAAGAAGCACCGGCUAACUACGUG
rnacentral:rRNA from 1 species